rnacentral:rRNA from 1 species
GCUUAACACAUGCAAGUCGAACGAUGAAGCCCAGCUUGCUGGGUGGAUUAGUGGCGAACGGGUGAGUAACACGUGAGUAACCUGCCCUUGACUCUGGGAUAAGCGCUGGAAACGGCGUCUAAUACCGGAUACGACCUACCCCGGCAUCGGGUGUGGGUGGAAAGUUUUUCGGUCAAGGAUGGACUCGCGGCCUAUCAGCUUGUUGGUGAGGUAAUGGCUCACCAAGGCGACGACGGGUAGCCGGCCUGAGAGGGUGACCGGCCACACUGGGACUGAGACACGGCCCAGACUCCUACGGGAGGCAGCAGUGGGGAAUAUUGCACAAUGGGCGAAAGCCUGAUGCAGCAACGCCGCGUGAGGGAUGACGGCCUUCGGGUUGUAAACCUCUUUUAGUAGGGAAGAAGGGCUUCGGCUUGACGGUACCUGCAGAAAAAGCACCGGCUAACUACGUGCCAGCAGCCGCGGUAAUACGUAGGGUGCAAGCGUUGUCCGGAAUUAUUGGGCGUAAAGAGCUCGUAGGCGGUUUGUCGCGUCUGCUGUGAAAACCCGAGGCUCAACCUCGGGCCUGCAGUGGGUACGGGCAGACUAGAGUGCGGUAGGGGAGAAUGGAAUUCCUGGUGUAGCGGUGGAAUGCGCAGAUAUCAGGAGGAACACCGAUGGCGAAGGCAGUUCUCUGGGCCGUAACUGACGCUGAGGAGCGAAAGCGUGGGGAGCGAACAGGAUUAGAUACCCUGGUAGUCCACGCCGUAAACGUUGGGCGCUAGAUGUGGGGACCUUUCCACGGUUUCCGUGUCGCAGCUAACGCAUUAAGCGCCCCGCCUGGGGAGUACGGCCGCAAGGCUAAAACUCAAAGGAAUUGACGGGGGCCCGCACAAGCGGCGGAGCAUGCGGAUUAAUUCGAUGCAACGCGAAGAACCUUACCAAGGCUUGACAUAUACGAGAACGGGCCAGAAAUGGUCAACUCUUUGGACACUCGUAAACAGGUGGUGCAUGGUUGUCGUCAGCUCGUGUCGUGAGAUGUUGGGUUAAGUCCCGCAACGAGCGCAACCCUCGUUCUAUGUUGCCAGCACGUUAUGGUGGGAACUCAUAGGAGACUGCCGGGGUCAACUCGGAGGAAGGUGGGGAUGACGUCAAAUCAUCAUGCCCCUUAUGUCUUGGGCUUCACGCAUGCUACAAUGGCCGGUACAAAGGGCUGCGAUACCGUAAGGUGGAGCGAAUCCCAAAAAGCCGGUCUCAGUUCGGAUUGAGGUCUGCAACUCGACCUCAUGAAGUCGGAGUCGCUAGUAAUCGCAGAUCAGCAACGCUGCGGUGAAUACGUUCCCGGGCCUUGUACACACCGCCCGUCAAGUCAUGAAAGUCGGUAACACCCGAAGCCGGUGGCCUAACCAUUGUGGAGGGAGCCGUCGAAGGUGGGAUCGGUGAUUAGGACG